rnacentral:lncRNA from 1 species
GGAAACAGGUGAAUCUGAAUAUAAUAAUAGUACAUUUGGAUUAUUUUUUAUUUUUAGGUUUAAUUUCUUUUUUUGUUGCAGAUAAACAUGGAGGUAGAAAGAGGUCAAAAAUCUUAAUCAUGAGCUUCUCUGUGAUCGGGUCAACAACCCUUCUAUGUUUGGGUGUAUAUUUUUUCUGUUACAGAAGAAGAGGUAGAAAAGAUAAUUUCCU